rnacentral:rRNA from 1 species
GACGAACGCUGGCGGCGUGCCUAAUACAUGCAAGUCGAACGCAGUGGGGACGGGUGCGUAACACGUGGGUAACCUCCCAUCAGAGGGGAUAACACUUGGCAACAGGUGCUAAACCGAUACUGAUGGAAGGACCCGCGGUGCAUUAGCCGGUUGGGGGGGUAACGGCCCACCAGGGCCACGAUGCAUAGCCGACCUGAGAGGGGGAUCGGCCACACUGGGACUGAGAAACGGCCCGGACUCCUACGGGAGGCAGCAGUAGGGAAUCUUCGGCAAUGGACGAAAGUCUGACCGAGCCACGCCGCGUGGGUGAAGAAGGUUUUCGGAUCGUAAAACUCUGUUGUUAGAGAAGCGGUAUCUAACCAGAAAGCCACGGCUAACUACGUGCCAGCAGCCGCGGUAAUAC